UUAAGGUGCCACACUCUGAGUGUGAAUGCUACCUGCCCUAAUGGAGGGUAACGAGGAUGGACUAUAAGGGACAGAAAGAGGGCUGCUGCUUCAGUUGCUGCUGCUUGCCUGUGCUGCAGUGGACUAUUUCUCCUCUGUGAUGCAUCUCUGUGAUGCCACCCUGCCUUAGAACCAGCUGACUGUGGACUGAAAACUCUACAAAUGUGUAAGAAUAACAUCACAAACGCUAUCCAUUCACAUCAAUGUUCCACUUGAAAAGAGGGAAAAAAUUCAGCUCACAGGCAGUUGUCGGGCAAGAGUGCUCACGGGUUCUAAAAGAAUAAAUAAGAAAGCACUUCAAGCUCUUCAGAAAAAAGAUCUUUCUGUGAUGACAGUGGAGCCAUGUGAUUAGUUCG
rnacentral:lncRNA from 1 species